UACGUAGGGGGCAAGCGUUGUCCGGAUUUAUUGGGCGUAAAGAGCGUGUAGGCGGCUUUACAGGUCCGUUGUGAAAACUCGAGGCUCAACCUCGAGACGCCGGUGGAAACCGUAAAGCUAGAGUCCGGAAGAGGAGAGUGGAAUUCCAGGUGUAGCGGUGAAAUGCGUAGAGAUCUGGAGGAACACCGAUGGCGAAGGCAGCUCGCUGGGACGGUACUGACGCUGAGACGCGAAAGCGUGGGGAGCGAACAGG
rnacentral:rRNA from 1 species